CCUUUUUAGACCACAGCUGUCACAUGUUUCUGACUCAACUUGCUUCUGCCAUGCCAGCGUCACCCCUGGUCUCAGGUGAGUACCCCAUGAUUCAGGCCCAGACCCUGAAGACCCCCUCCCCUGAGAUCACUCCCAGAAGAGGCGGAGGGUGAGGGAUUUGUUCCUGGGGUCCCUGCCUGGCUUCUCACCUUCAGCCUUGCGUUGUCUUUCAAUUCCAGCACCUGGACUUCCCUGGUCAUGCACCCGGGCAUUGGCCUCAACUUAGGUCCUGAUCCUCGGAGUCCCUCACUCACCUGGGACAGCUCUGUCCCGAACUCAGUUUCUGAUUUCAUGCUGGUCUUGCCCCAGUUACACCAACCCACCCCCCUCCCUAUCUCAUUGAGGUCAGAGUGGAGGAGGCUCUCAGGCUUCUGAAGGGAGGGAGGCAACACUGCCUCAAAUGGAGCCCUGAUGGGGCUCAGAGCCUGUGGGGAGUCUCACAGCUACCUGGGAAUCUUUCUGUCCCUGGAGACAGCACAAGUCAAGGCACUUGAGGACUCUCAGUUGUGUGUAGGGAGGAGGAUGCUGCUCCAAAUAGCGCAGACAAGCAUUCAGUUCUAAAACCUCAGAGCUCAGAGCAGCUGAAGAGCAGAGGCAGCCCUCUGGUCCCACAUGGCUCACAUUCUCUUCCUUGUCCGCCUGACUCCAUGUGUGACUUUAGCAACAUGUCUGUCGAGGAUGUUCUACCCCUAGCCCCUGCACCAGCAAACAAAUAAGUCCUCCCAAGGCUCCCCAUGCCUGAUGUCUCCAUUCCCUCCACUCCAGAAGGAGCAGAAACAAGGGCCUGCUCCCCUCCUCCUCCUCUCCAGCCCUCAUCACUCCCUUCCCUGGGGGCCAAGGCACUCAAAAACCAUCUUCCCCUAAAAGCUCAGGGACUCACUUGGUUUUCUUUCCCAGAAGCCCUAAAGAUAGUAGCUUUGCUUAAUGAGAAUGCCCCAUGGUGAAAUGGUGAGGACCAAGACUCUGGUGCCUGGUCCACAGGGGAAUUCCAGCUCUGCCUCUUGCUAGUGAUGAGACCCUAGACAUGUGAUGGAACUUCUCUAUAGUGUUUCCUCAUCUCUGAGGUUGGAAAACUAAUGGUCCCCACCCCACUGCAUUGCUGUGAGCCAUAUACGCAUUAAUUAGUGUAAAAAUGGUGCCUCCAUGUAAUAAGUGCCGUGAUGCACAAGCUCUCAUUUAUUGAUUUUUCACUGUAUGUGAGGCCUUACUCUAAAUACCUUACAUCCAAUAAUUCGUUUUUCCUAAGCAAAGUGAAAUAGAGACAGAAGGAUCAUUUUAUAAUUCUAAUUUAAAUUAUCAUUAAUAUUUAUUGCAUAAGUUCCAUCAACAGGAGUUGAAAUGCAUUGUUGAAAUUCAUCACAAUAUUUGCUACUUUAAAGAAUCAAACUGUUUUUACUUUUUUUUCUUGUGCUCUCUCUCCUGGCCUUGUAAGGUUUAUGCAUAAUAAAUAUUCAUAUCUGGUCAAAAAAUAAACUAAGUUGUAAAAGGUUAGAGAAUUUCCCUAUCUGAACACGCAAACCCAGUGUGUAAAGAUGACAAAAAUAAACCACCCAGGGGACAGAAACUCCCAGUAGUGCCCCUCCUAUGGAUACAGGCCUGUAUCAUAGUAUGACAUAGUACAGGCACAAUUCUGUAUGUAUCUCUUUUUUUUAGAAACAGGUUCUCACUGUGUCACCCAAGCUGGAGUGCAGUGGCCCUCUCAAAGGUCAUUGCUCACUGCAGCCUCAAACUCCUGUCAAGUGAUCCUGUCACCCAGCCUCCUGAAUAGCUAGGACUACAGGCAUGCACCAUCACGCUCAGCUAAUUUUUAAAUUUUUUUGUAGAGAUGGGGUCUUGCUAUGUUGCCCAGGCUAGGCUCAAAUUCCUGGCCUCAGGCAAUCCUCUCAUCUUGGUCUUUCAAAGUCCUGGAAUUACAGGAGUGAGCCACCAUACCCUGCCCUGUAUCUUUUGACUUAACAUUAAAUCAUAAACAGUUUCCAUGUUGCUGUAUAGCCUUUGAAAGUAUCACUUCAAUGACUGUAGAAUAACUCAUUUAGUUGAAUUACUAUAAUUGAACUGACAUCAUUAUUGAAUAAUGGUAGGGUUUUUUUGCUAUUACAAAUGAUUCUGUAGUAAACUCUUAGCAGAAAUGACAUUUUUUUUCUUUCAGGUGAUUUCUUAGGCUAAUUCUCAGAGAUGGGGUUAUUGGGCCAAAAAAGCAAACUAUGGCUUUCCGAAGCUCUCAUUGUUCCCAUUAUGUCAUGCAUCCCUGAGAUGCAGUCAGCAGAGGAUUCUAUUUGAGGGACUAAACACUCCCGGGGAAAGCAGGAAGAAGGAGACGGGAACUAACAUUUGCUAUUGAGCGCCAGGCAUCGUCCUACAGGCUUCGAAGUGAACCUUGGAUGUGCUGCUGAUCUGACCUGCCCAGAUUUGUCAUCAUUGUUAUUGUCUUGGCCUCUUAUGAAGACGUUCACCCAGCAGGACUUCAGAAGCUUUGUUCACUCGAUCUCAUUUAAUCCUCACAAUAGUGCCCUAAGGAAGAUAUUAGUAUCCCCAUUUUACAAAGGAGGAAACGGGAACCUGGGGAGAUUAAGCGAAGGCCUCACAGAUCAUGAAUAGAAGAGGCUGGAAACCUAGUCUGGUUCAAGGGUGUGCUCUUUCUGCUCUGCCAUGCUGUGCUUCAGCCCUUCCCCACUCUCAGCCCCAUGUGCACGCAGAUAGGGAUUUUCACUCUUUGCCCUGUAUGAAAGGAGGGAAGGAAGCCAGGCACCCCGAAUGGAGAGACCAGCUGAAGCCGCGGCAGAAGAACAAAAAUUGUGAAGAUUUAAUGGACAUUUAUCAGUUCCCAAAAUUAAUAUUUUUAUAAUUUCUUACGCCUGUCUUUACUGCAAUCUCUGAACAUAAAUUGUGAAGAUUUCAUGGAUAUUUAUCACUUCCCCAAUCAAUACUCUUAUAAUUUCUUAUGUUUGUCUUUAAUCUCUUAAUCCCGUCAUCUUUGUAAGCUGAGGAUGUAUGUCACCUCAGGACCCUGUGAUGAUUGCAUUAACUGUACAGAUUGUAAAACGUGUGUUUGAACAAUAUGAAACCAGUGCACCCUGAAAAAGGACAGAAUAACAGUGAUUUUCAGGGAACAAAAGAGAUAAUCAUAAGGCCUGACUGCCUGCGGGGUUGGGCAGAACACAGCCAUAUUUUUCUUCUCGCAGAAAGCCUAUAGAUGGAUGUGUGAGUAGGAGAAAUAUUGCUGAAUUCUUUUCCCAGCAAGGAAUAUUAAUAAUUGAUAGCCCUGGGGAAGGAAUGCAUUCCUGGGGGGAGGUCUAUGAACGCCUGCUCUGGGAUUGUCUGUCUUAUGUGGUUGAGAUAAGGACUGAAAUACACCCUGGUCUCCCGCAGUGCCCUCAGGCUUGCUAGGAUUGGGAAAUUCCAGCCUGGUGAAUUCUAGUCAGACCGGUUGUCUGCUCUCAAACUCUCUUUCCUGUUAAGAUGUUUAUCAAGACAAUGCAUGCACAGGAGGACAUGGACCCUCAUCAGUAAUUCUAAUUUUGCCCUUGCCUUGUGAUCUUUUAUUGCCCUUUGAAGCAUGUGAUCCUUGUGACCUACUCCCUGUUCGUACAUCUACUCUCCUUCUAAAAUCCUAAUAAAAACUUGCUGGUUUUGCAGCUCAGGGUCGCCAUCACGGUCCUACCAAUAUGUGAUGGCACCCCCAGAGGCCCAGCUGUAAAACUUCUCUCUUUGUACUCCUUCUCUUUAUUUCUCAGACCGGCCGACACUUAGGGAAAAUAGAAUCUACGUUGAAAUACUGGGGGGCUGGUUCCCCCAGCAGAUAAUGCAAAAAAAAAUUGUGGUGCAAAAGUAAUUGCACCAACCUAAUAUAACAGAAUAACUGAGACUACAUGAUUUAUAAGGAACAGAAAUUAAUUAUCUCACAAUUCUGAAAGUUGAUCAAGGCAUUGGCAGGUGAAGGCCCAGUUUCUCUGCUUCCAAAAUGGCACGUGAAUGCUGUGUCCUUUGAAGGGGAGGAAGGCCAGGUCCCCACAUGGCAGAAGAGCAGAAAUGAGAGAAGGCCACUCUCAUUCCUGUGAGCCCUUUUAUAACAUCAUUAAUCCAUACACCUCC
rnacentral:lncRNA from 1 species